rnacentral:rRNA from 1 species
UACGUAGGGUGCAAGCGUUAAUCGGAAUUACUGGGCGUAAAGCGUGCGCAGGCGGUUAUAUAAGACAGUUGUGAAAUCCCCGGGCUCAACCUGGGAACUGCAUCUGUGACUGUAUAGCUAGAGUACGGUAGAGGGGGAUGGAAUUCCGCGUGUAGCAGUGAAAUGCGUAGAUAUGCGGAGGAACACCGAUGGCGAAGGCAAUCCCCUGGACCUGUGACUGACGCUCAUGCACGAAAGCGUGGGGAGCAAACGAGG